rnacentral:lncRNA from 1 species
UGGCAACCCGCUCCGGUGUCCUUCCAUGCUGUGGAGGCUCUGUUGUUUCGCUCUUUCUACUGCUUACUCUUCGGGUCCACACUGCUUUUAUGAGCUGUAACACUCACCCUGAAGGUUUGCAACUUGACUCCUGAAGCCAGCAAGACCACGAGCCCCAGGGAGGAACGAACAACUCCAGACGCGCUGCCUUAAGAGCUGUAACACUCACCGAGAAGGUCUGCAGCUUCACUCCUGAGCCAGCGAGGCCACGAACCCACCAGAAGGAAGAAACUCUGAACACAUCCGAACAUCAGAAGGAACAAACUCCAGACGUGCCACCUUAAGAGCUGUUAACACUCACCGCGAGGGUCCGCGGCUUCAUUUUUGAAGUCAGUGAGACCAAGAACCAACCAAUUCGGGACACAAUACCAACUCUUUCAUGCCAGGAGAAGCCUCCUUAAAAAAUUUCGGUGAUUAACAGCAGCACAUGGGUCAAAAUCUCCUGAAAGUUGAGCAGGGGAGCUGUAGAAGAAUUCCUCCUUUUCUCGCAGAUGAAAUCUUAUGAUAUAGCAGGGGUUACCUGGCCAAGAAGGAACACAGAGGAGAACAAAGAAAAUUCAAGGAACUAAAUUCCUUCUCCACCUCAACCACCAGCAUUGAUACUCCAUCACUUAUGUACUGCAUCAAGCCGUCCUCAGAGGUGAGGAAGGUGCUGUCAAGACUAGAAGCAUGUGUCCCUC